CUGGAACACAUCUCCAAAGUUCUGCCGGGCCAGCUCAGCUUCCCCUCAGAAGAAGUGACGCCACCUGCCAGAUGAAGGAGCCUUUUGAGAGGCAGCUGGCAUCGUGAUUGGACUGUACUUUGGUCUGUUCCAAUCCAGCUUCAGCUCCAGAGACGGCAGGCGGGACGAGUCAACGGAGGCCAGACCAAAGAACUACAGACUCUUCACAACCUGCUCAAACACUUGGUACAGGACCUCACCACACGGGUCAAGAAGACUAAAGAACUACAGACUCUUCACAACCUGCUCAAACUCUUGGUACAGGACCUCACCACACGGGUCAAGAAGGUUUCUGUCUCAUUUCUACUCUGAAGCUCACCUUCUCCUGCUCAAACUGCUGACAAAUGUUUC
ensembl:lncRNA